GAUGAACGCUGGCGACGUGCUUAACACAUGCAAGUCGAACGAUGAAAGCGGGAGCUUGCUCCUGCUGGAUUAGUGGCGAACGGGUGAGUAACACGUGAGCAAUCUGCCCCGAACUCUGGGAUAAGCGUUGGAAACGACGUCUAAUACCGGAUACGACGCGCGAAGGCAUCUUCUGCGCGUGGAAAGAACUUCGGUUCGGGAUGAGCUCGCGGCCUAUCAGCUAGUUGGUGAGGUAACGGCCCACCAAGGCGACGACGGGUAGCCGGCCUGAGAGGGUGACCGGCCACACUGGGACUGUGACACGGCCCAGACGCCUACGGGAGGCAGCAGUGGGGAAUAUUGCACAAUGGGCGCAAGCCUGAUGCAGCAACGCCGCGUGAGGGACGACGGCCUUCGGGUUGUAAACCUCUUUCAGCAGGGAAGAAGCGAAAGUGACGGUACCUGCAGAAGAAGCACCGGCUAACUACGUGCCAGCCGCCGCAGUAAGAC
rnacentral:rRNA from 1 species